GGGCCCGCACAAGCAGCGGAGCAUGUGGUUUAAUUCGAAGCAACGCGAAGAACCUUACCAGGUCUUGACAUCCAGUGAAUCCAUAAGAGAUUAUGGAGGAUACCGAAAGGUAUACACUGAGACAGGUGGUGCAUGGUUGUCGUCAGCUCGUGUCGUGAGAUGUUGGGUUAAGUCCCGCAACGAGCGCAACCCUUGUAAUUAGUUACGGCAGUAAGAUGAGGACUCUAAUUAGACUGCCGUGGAGAACACGGAGGAAGGUGGGGAUGACGUCAAAUCAUCAUGCCCUAUAUGACCUGGGCUACACACGUGCUACAAUGGCUGAAACAAAGGGGAGCGAAUCCGUAAGGAGGAGCGAAUCGUAAAAAACAGUCCCAGUUCGGAUUGAGGGCUGCAACCCGCCCUCAUGAAGCCGGAGUUGCUAGUAAUCGCGAAUCAGCAUGUCGCGGUGAAUACGUUCCCGGGCCUU
rnacentral:rRNA from 1 species